rnacentral:rRNA from 1 species
UACGUAGGGGGCGAGCGUUGUCCGGAUUUAUUGGGCGUAAAGAGCUCGUAGGCGGUCUGUCGCGUCGGAUGUGAAAACCCAGGGCUCAACCCUGGGCCUGCAUUCGAUACGGGCAGACUAGAGUACGGCAGGGGAGACUGGAAUUCCUGGUGUAGCGGUGAAAUGCGCAGAUAUCAGGAGGAACACCGGUGGCGAAGGCGGGUCUCUGGGCCGAAACUGACGCUGAGGAGCGAAAGCGUGGGGAGCGAACAGG